rnacentral:rRNA from 1 species
UACGGAGGGUGCGAGCGUUGUCCGGAAUCACUGGGCGUAAAGGGCGCGUAGGUGGCGCGGGCAGUCAACGGUGAAAGUCCGGGGCUCAACCUCGGAUCGGCCGUGGCGACUCGUGGGCUGGAGCACUGUAGAGGCAGGCGGAAUUCCGGGUGUAGCGGUGGAAUGCGUAGAGAUCCGGAAGAACACCGGUGGCGAAGGCGGCCUGCUGGGCAGUGGCUGACACUGAGGCGCGACAGCGUGGGGAGCAAACAGG